rnacentral:rRNA from 1 species
AGCGAACGCUGGCGGCGUGCCUAACACAUGCAAGUCGAACGUGAAAGGGAGCAAUCCCAAGUAAAGUGGCGUACGGGUGAGUAACACGUAGGUAAUCUACCCCAGAAUCUGGAAUAACCGGCCGAAAGGCUGGCUAAUACUGGAUAGAGCGACGGAAUCCGUAAUUGGGUUUUUCGGGAAAGGGAGCCUGUAAAAAGGCCUUCGUUCUGGGAUGAGCCUGCGUCCCAUCAGCUAGUUGGUGAGGUAAAAGCUUACCAAGGCAAUGACGGGUAGCUGGUCUGAGAGGACGAUCAGCCACACUGGAACUGAAACACGGCCCAGACUCCUACGGGAGGCAGCAGUGGGGAAUCUUGCGCAAUGGACGAAAGUCUGACGCAGCAACGCCGCGUGAGUGAAGAAGGCCUUCGGGCUGUAAAGCUCUGUCGAGUGGGACGAAAAUGCUUGGAGUUCACAGCUCCAGGAACUGACGGUACCACUAAAGGAAGCACCGGCUAACUCCGUG